rnacentral:rRNA from 1 species
GUGUCAGCAGCCGCGGUAAUACAGGGGGGGCAAGCGUUGUUCGGAAUUACUGGGCGUAAAGGGCUCGUAGGCGGCCGAUUAAGUCCGACGUGAAAUCCCCAAGCUUAACUUGGGAACUGCGUCGGAUACUGAUUGGCUUGAAUCCGGGAGAGGGAUGCGGAAUUCCAGGUGUAGCGGUGAAAUGCGUAGAUAUCUGGAGGAACACCGGUGGCGAAGGCGGCAUCCUGGACCGGCAUUGACGCUGAUGAGCGAAAGCCAGGGGAGCAAACGGGAUUAGAUACCCCCGUAGUCC